AGAGUUUGAUCAUGGCUCAGAUUGAACGCUGGCUGCAUGCCUUACACAUGCAAGUCGAACGGCAGCACGGGAGCAAUCCUGGUGGCGAGUGGCGAACGGGUGAGUAAUAUAUCGGAACGUGCCCAGUAAUGGGGGAUAGCCCGGCGAAAGCCGGAUUAAUACCGCAUACGACCUACGGGUGAAAGCGGGGGAUCGCAAGACCUCGCGUUAUUGGAGCGGCCGAUAUCAGAUUAGCUUGUUGGCGGGGUAAAAGCCCACCAAGGCGACGAUCUGUAGCUGGUCUGAGAGGACGACCAGCCACACUGGGACUGAGACACGGCCCAGACUCCUACGGGAGGCAGCAGUGGGGAAUUUUGGACAAUGGGCGCAAGCCUGAUCCAGCCAUGCCGCGUGUGGGAAGAAGGCCUUCGGGUUGUAAACCACUUUUGUCAGGGAAGAAACGGCUCUUACUAAUAUUAGGAGCUAAUGACGGUACCUGAAGAAUAAGCACCGGCUAACUACGUGCCAGCAGCCGCGGUAAUACGUAGGGUGCAAGCGUUAAUCGGAAUUGCUGGGCGUAAAGCGUGCGCAGGCGGCUUUGCAAGACAGAUGUGAAAUCCCCGGGCUCAACCUGGGAACUGCAUUUGUGACUGCAUGGCUAGAGUACGGUAGAGGGGGAUGGAAUUCCGCGUGUAGCAGUGAAAUGCGUAGAUAUGCGGAGGAACACCGAUGGCGAAGGCAAUCCCCUGGACCUGUACUGACGCUCAUGCACGAAAGCGUGGGGAGCAAACAGGAUUAGAUACCCUGGUAGUCCACGCCCUAAACGAUGUCAACUGGUUGUUGGACGGCUUGCUGUUCAGUAACGAAGCUAACGCGUGAAGUUGACCGCCUGGGGAGUACGGCCGCAAGGUUGAAACUCAAGGGAAUUGACGGGGACCCGCACAAGCGGUGGAUGAUGUGGUUUAAUUCGAUGCAACGCGAAAAACCUUACCUACCCUUGACAUGUCUAGAAGUUUCCAGAGAUGGAUUCGUGCUCGAAAGAGAACUAGAACACAGGUGCUGCAUGGCCGUCGUCAGCUCGUGUCGUGAGAUGUUGGGUUAAGUCCCGCAACGAGCGCAACCCUUAUCAUUAGUUGCUACGCAAGGGCACUCUAAUGAGACUGCCGGUGACAAACCGGAGGAAGGUGGGGAUGACGUCAGGUCAUCAUGGCCCUUAUGGGUAGGGCUACACACGUCAUACAAUGGCCGGUACAGAGGGCUGCCAACCCGCGAGGGGGAGCUAAUCUCAGAAAACCGGUCGUAGUCCGGAUCGCAGUCUGCAACUCGACUGCGUGAAGUCGGAAUCGCUAGUAAUCGCGGAUCAGCUUGCCGCGGUGAAUACGUUCCCGGGUCUUGUACACACCGCCCGUCACACCAUGGGAGCGGGUUCUGCCAGAAGUAGUUAGCCUAACCGCAAGGAGGGCGAUUACCACGGCAGGGUUCGUGACUGGGGUGAAGUCGUAACAAGGUA
rnacentral:rRNA from 1 species